AGGAUGAACGCUGGCGGCGUGCCUAAUACAUGCAAGUCGAACGAGAUCUUCGGAUCUAGUGGCGAACGGGUGAGUAACACGUUGGUACCUACCCCGAAGUGGGGAAUAACUGCCCGAAAGGGUGGCUAAUACCGCAUAAUACCGUAAGGUUAAAGCAGUAAUGCGCUUCGGGAGGGGCCUGCGUCCAAUUAGCUAGUUGGUAGGGUAAUUGCCUACCAAGGCGACGAUUGGUAGCUGGAUCGAGAGGUUGACCAGCCACACGUGGACUGAGAUACGGCCACGACUCCUACGGGAGGCAGCAGUAAGGAAUCUUCCACAAUGGACGAAAGUCUGAUGGAGCAACGCCGCGUGCAGGAUGACGGUCUUCGGAUUGUAAACUGCUUUUAUAUGGGAAGAUUAUGACGGUACCAUAUGAAUAAGGACCGGCUAACUACGUGCCAGCAGCCGC
rnacentral:rRNA from 1 species